rnacentral:rRNA from 1 species
AGUGAACGCUGGCGGUAGGCCUAACACAUGCAAGUCGAACGGCAGCACAGGAGAGCUUGCUCUCUGGGUGGCGAGUGGCGGACGGGUGAGGAAUACAUCGGAAUCUACUCUGUCGUGGGGGAUAACGUAGGGAAACUUACGCUAAUACCGCAUACGACCUACGGGUGAAAGCAGGGGAUCUUCGGACCUUGCGCGAUUGAAUGAGCCGAUGUCGGAUUAGCUAGUUGGCGGGGUAAAGGCCCACCAAGGCGACGAUCCGUAGCUGGUCUGAAAGGAUGACCAGCAGAACUGGGACUGAGACACGGUCCAGACUCCGACGGGAGGCAGCAGUGGGGAAUAUUGGACAAUGGGCGCAAGCAUGAUCCAGCCAUACCGGGUGGGUGAAGAAGGCCUUCGGGUUGUAAAGCCCUUUUGUUGGGAAAGAAAUCCAGCUGGCUAAUACCCGGUUGGGAUGACGGUACCAAAAGAAUAAGCACCGGCUAGCUUCGUGCCAGCCGCCGCCGUAA